UACGAAGGGGGCUAGCGUUGCUCGGAAUUACUGGGCGUAAAGCGCACGUAGGCGGCUCUUUAAGUCGGAGGUGAAAUCCUGGAGCUCAACUCCAGAACUGCCUUCGAUACUGUAGGGCUUGAGUUCGGGAGAGGUGAGUGGAACUGCGAGUGUAGAGGUGAAAUUCGUAGAUAUUGGGAAGAACACCGGUGGCGAAGGCGGCUAUCUGGACCGACAUUGACGCUGAGGCGCGAAAGCGUGGGGAGCAAACAGG
rnacentral:rRNA from 1 species